UUUUUUUGUCUUUAUGGAUUAAAAUCACUAAACAGUCUUAAGUCUCAACGAAUCCCAAAUCCUUCACCAAUUUCAUCAAUUUCGAUUUGAAAAUUGUUCUGCAACUCCAUAAGAGGUUCAUAAGGAUCCGUGAAGAUAUUUAGGAUCAAUUUUUCAGCUUUGGUGAAUCUCAUAUUUCAGAGAAAUUUGAAAUUUAAGGUACCAUUCACUUUUCUACAUCUAGAUUGAGUGUUGAGCUUUGUUUUUGUAUGAUUUAGCUACUACUUUGUUUCUUAAUUAUUUGUUCCCGUUUGAUACUUGUGUUCAAUGGAAAGUGAAAAAUGUGAGCAAUAAUGAGCUCAAAGGAACCAAAAUGUUAUAUUUUUAUCAUGUUCUUGUUUGAUUUAAAUUGUGGUUAAGAAUCACUUAAUUGAUUGUGGAUUUGUAUCUCUUGCUUAUGCUCAUUGGCUGGUUAAUUGAUAUUGAUUCUGGAUUUUUGUUUCCACAAGAAUAUAUUGUCUAUUCUAAAAGCAAUAAUUGAUAAAAUUUUGUGAAUCCAUGAUUUAUCGCUUAUUUUUUCUUUAACUAUGGUGUUUGAUUUCCAUUUCUAUGGAAGUCAAAAUGUUUUUGUGUAUCUGAUAAUUAGAUUACUCUAUUCGUAGAGUAACUGUGAAAUGGACAAAUCUUAGAUAACGAAACAUCGUUUAUCUCAAGACUACAUAAGUGGAGUCGAAGCAUUUUUGGAUUUUGCUUUUGGUGUUGUAAGACAGAGAUGGUAAAAUGUCCUUGUCAGACUUUAUAUCUUGUUAAAUACAAGCUUAGGGUUUAGAUUAAGGGUGAUUUAAUCUGUCAUGGUUUUCUACCUACGUAUACAAAUUGGUAUCUCUAUGGUGAAAAAAAAAUAGAUUUUCAGGAGCAAACAGUGAGGUUAGAACCUGAAUCUGAUGGUGAUCAUGCUGAAAACCUGACUAUGAAUCUGCUUGAAGAUAUUUUGCCUGUGGAGGAUCAUUCAAAGCAAAAGGAGGCAUUUGAUUAUUUGUUAUCAGACUGUAAUGCAGCUUUAUAUGAAGGGUGCCACACAUUCAGCAAGUUAUCAUUUAUGAUUAAGUUGUAUCGCAUCAAGUGUAUAUCUAGGAUAAGUGACAAAGGAAUGUCAAUGAUAAUUUAUCUCUUGAAGGAAGCUUUUGAGCAUGCAAAACUGUCAGAUUCAUCUAAUGAUAUGAGGAAGAUAAUACAUAAUUUAUGAUUCAACUAUGAGACUAUUCAUGUGUGUCCCAAUGAUUGCAUGUUGUAUUGGGGAGAUGAUGCAUCUAGAAACACAUGCAAAAUCUGUGAAAAAUCAAGGUGGAAGACAUCUACAACAGUUCAUGAUACACAGGAUAAAAAGAAGAAAAAGAAGCAACAAGCAGCUAAAGUCCUUAGAUAUUUUUUCGUUGAAACCACGCUUGCAGCGUUUUUUUAUGUCAUCCAAAACUGCUGAAUAUAUGAGGUGGCAUGCUUAAUCUGAGAACAGAGAUGGUGGACGAAGACAUCCUAGAGAUGGAAAUGCUUGGAAAAUAUUUAAUGAAAAAUUUCCAAAGUUUGCAUCAGUUCCAAGGAAUGUCAGACUAGGAUUAGCAACUGAUGGAUUUAAUCUGUUUGGUUCUAUGAGUACAAGCUAUAGUGUAUGGCAUGUGCUUUUAUUUCCUUACAAUUUUCCGCCUUGGAUGUCCAUGAAUGAUACAUCAAUGAUUUCUUCAAUGCUAAUCCCGGGAAAACACAUGCUAGGUAAUGAUAUUGAUAUCUAUCUUCAACCUCUUAUACAAGAACUAAGAUAGUUAUGGUAUGAUGGUGUUUCAACCUAUGAUGCUUCUUUAAAGGAGACAUUUUGUAUGCGUGCGGUUUUGUUAUGGACCAUCAGUGAUUUUCCAGGGUUUGGAAAUUUAUCUGGGUGGAACAUAUACACAGGAUUGGCUUGUCCUUCAUGUAAUGAUGAUGCUGCAUAGUUUCGCUUACGCCAUGGGAAGAAAAACUGCUACAUGGGAAAUCGUCGGUUUCUACCUCAAAGUCAUAUUUUCGGAAGGAUAAGCAGCAUUUUGAUGGCUUUAUUGAAACAAAGGGCUGCUCCUAUUACACCAUCAGGAAAUGUUAUUCUCCAGCAACUCAAAAAUGUUCAUGUUAUUUUGGGGAAGAAUGUAGAUAAUAUUGGAAAGAAGAGGCGCAAGCUAGAAGUUAGGAAAAAUCAAUGGAGAAAGAGUAGUAUAUUUUUUAAACUCCCUUAAUGGAAACAUCUUCUAUUACGUCACAAUCUGGAUUUGAUGCACAUAGAAAAAAACAUAUUUGACAAUCUCAUUUUUACCUUUUUGGAUGAUAUAGGCAACUCAAAAGAUAAUCUCAGUGCUAGAAAAGAUUUGCAGGAGCUUGGUUUUCGUCAAGAAUUGUGGUCUAAUGAAAAUGGAAAAUAUCUUCCGGCAUGUUUUACGAUGGCCACACAAGAGAAAGAUAGAUUUCUUACUAUCUUACAGUGUGUAAAGCUUCCAGAUGGAUAUUCUUCAAAUAUAUCUGCUUUUAGUGAUCUGAUUUAACGAAAAAAAUGGUGGGUUUAAAGAGUCAUGAUUGCCACAUCUUAAUGGGUCAGUUGUUGGCUAUCGCUAUACAUAACGUUUUACCACGAGAGGUCUCAUUUGUUGUAACAGAUUGUAACAGAGUUAUGUCGCUUCUUUCGAGAAAUAAGUUCAAAGGUAUUGGAUAUUAAAGAACUGGAUAAGUUGCAGGAGCAUAUUUCACUUACGUUGUGCCAUUUAGAGAUGAUUUUUCCUCCAUCAUUUUUCAACAUAAUGGUACAUUUGACCAUCCAUCUGACAGAAGAAGUGAAACUAGGAGGUCCAGUUCAAUUUUGAUGGAUGUAUCAAGUUGAGAGGGUCUUUGGGCGUUUAAAGUCUUAUGUCAGAAAUCAAGCUCAACCUGAAGGGUCCAUUUGUGAGCAGUAUAUUGCUGAUGAGUGUCUUACGUUUUGCUCUAUGUAUCUUGAUGGAGUAGAAACAAAAUUUAAUGGUAUUGGUAGAGUGGAUGAUCACCCUAUGGCUAAGCAUAACUUAGGUCCUGGAUCACAAAUUCAACAUGUUUUUCCUUUACUUGGGAGACAUGUUGGUGCUUCUAGAUUGGAUACACUUAGUCGUAUAGAAAGACAACAAGCUCACUGAUAUAUCUUA